CUUUAUUAUUCAAUUACGCAGGUGUCAUUGUUGGCGAAUUAAGUUGCCUACUCGAAUUGGUGCAUAGCUCUAUUUAAACACAGUAGCAAAAUAAGAACUAAUGAACAAAGGUGUCAUUUUCAAUAUGAAACUCACAUUAAUCACAUGGUCGGUUGUAGUCCCUAUAAUCUGUGGAGCACAAAGCCCAAACUCGAUUACAGAAGAAUGCAAGGAAACCCUUUAUACAUCUAAGCCAACUGUCUACGAAAAAUAUUUAGAUAUGCCUAAGAUAAAAUGGCGUUGUCAGAAUAGUUGCGGUCCCUCUAUUGGUGAAGUAUUUCUGAGAUAUUUUGGAUUGACAUCUUUACACUUCAAUGAUGAAGACAUUCAAAUGGCCUUAUUGCCUCUGAUGUACAAAACCUCUGCCUACCGUCUUCGACUACGUAUCGUGGAUAUUGUUAACAAAAUUAUUAAAGACAGAAACUUGACCAAUGGCAAACUAUAUUCGGAGGCUUAUGUAGAAAACAGGCGGCAAAUUCCAGGCCGUUUAGCUACGAUUUACAGAGAGAUGUAUUAUUUAAUAAGUCGAAGCCUUGAACAUGAUAUGCCGGUGGCUCUAUCCAUAGACAACGGUUUUAAUUGCAUGGUGGUACAAGGAUUUCAAUAUGGCGGAUCCUUUGAUACAGUAAACUACACUUACGUGGAUCCCCGAACAGGGAAUUCAAAAACAGAGUCAGUUGAGAAGUUAAUGGGUCAAACUGCAAAAACUAUAGGCGACAUUUACCUAAUGGUCUACAAUCCCCCAUUGACUGAUGAUGAAACUGACUUUACAGCUUGUUCUGAACUGUUAAAUAUAUCUAAUUCUAUAAUAACAAUGGAACCAUUCGCGCAUCUGAAUCAUAGUAAACCUAACGGUAUUUGUCCCCCAGGUUUAAACUAUCAUCACGUAAUAACACAAGGCGAGGAUUUUUUUGUCCUUAAUCACACUGACUUUAAUCCAGAUGAAAUCAAAGUUGGACUUUCCUUAAAAACUGCGUUAGGUAUCGAAAAAAUAUACUUCGAAGUCAGCGACACCGAGUUCAAGAAGUAUUUAAGAACACUGUUCAAAACAGUCCGACAAACCACUGGCACCGGUCUGUUUGGGUCUAUUCAAAAACAAGACCACGAUGUUAUGGUGGAUUACAUGUUUGAACACUACGCAUAUUUUCAUUUUGCGAUCAGACGUUUGGCAAAAGAUAAAAGAUUAAAUUUGCUUGAAGUUGCAACGAACCGAAACAGAGUUUUUGAUCCAGCCAAAAUAAAAGCCAUAUACAAAUGUUGAGAUUAUUCUAUACAUAUAAGUUAAAAUUAAGAUACGAAAAAAUGAUAAGUUUGGUAUAAAAGCUAAUAUGGUCCUUUUCAGAGGCAUUUUUCAGUGCGUCACAAGUGAGAGAAAAAAAAGUUUUGUUGUAGCGUGCAAACCCGCUACUUUUUAGAAUUUAUUUUCAUAAACCCACUCCAUUAGAGGUCCUCUCAAGUAGCUGUUGAUUUUCAUUUUUAGCAAAUAUUUAUUAGUCGGAUCAUCUAUACUCUUUUUGUGCACCCUGUAUAUACAUUUUCAAUUAUUUUAUAAUGAAGUUAGUGAUCCCCGAUUUAAAAUAAGAAAAGUUAUUUCCAUUAUCUUGAAUAGUAUUUAUUGAGAAAAUAUUAUUGUCAUUUUCAUUUUAAAUCGUUUAAUUUUUAAAGCGAUUAAUUUUUUGUAAUUUCAAAACGUUCAAGUUUGCCAGUUAUAAGAAUGUCUCUUUUGUUAUCAGCUAAUACUACUGACCUUUAGUUAAUUUCUUUUACUUUCAUAAAUACCAUGCUGGUUCCUUUCUGAUUUUUCUAUAAACUCCGCCAAGUAGGUAGCAUCGAGUAACUACAGACCUAAUUGGCACCCAGGAGAAGGGCGUGGCCCUAACCUUAACAUGUUUGUUUUGGCCCAGAGACUAGAAUGUUCCCCAGAUAUGUAACCACAUCGUGAACGGUAAAGUAGCAGUUUCCCAAGACAGUCACCCAUGGGUUCGAUGAACAGUUAAAUAGCUCCAGAGGCAACCACCGAACCACCAUAUAACUAAAUUGCUACAGUACAUCAAACUACCACCUGAUGCCUUCCGAAGAAGAUAUUGAGCUGUGGAUAACCUAGGACAGCACCGGAGGAAGCCUUCACGCCACAAGCUAAGUCUUUAAUAGAAUCUUGUACUUGCCUGUCGGCAGGGACAGUUUUUUUUAUGUAAAGUAACUUCAUAAUGACUAGAAUGUAGAUCCUGGAUUAUAACUAAUAGAAUGAGAAAAUAAAGCAUUUAUAC
rnacentral:misc_RNA from 1 species